UUUUUAUAAAAUGUCUGAUUUCUUUUUCUUUUUAUUGGUCGUGUUUUAUGGAGGAAAGGAAAGUUAUAUAGUGUAGUAGGGCUAGUAGAUAAUCUUCUCUUUUGGUGAAUAAAUAAUUUAGUGCAGUAUUACUUAUUGAUAAUUUGGUGAAUAAAUAAUAUGUUGGAAGUCCCUGUGGUAGCUCAUAGUUCUUUUUAAACGAACUAAAACCCUAAACCUCUCGCUGCGGCGUUUUCCUCGGUGAACGGCGGCUGCCGCGUCUUCCUCUCCAUCGGCGAAACAGCGUCUCCGCCCCCCCGGUAUCUCUCUCUUUCUCUUCCUCUUCCUCCUUUGCCGUUGCAGCCCCCCCUUCCCCGAUCCAUCCUCUCUCUCCCUCCCUCUUCCACUGUCGCUGCUCCCCUCCUUCCGCGACACCUUCCUCCCCCUCCCUUCUCCUCCCUCUAUACCCUUUACCCCUCUCUCGCUUCUCCUCCCUUCCCCAACACCAUCCUCCCAUUCCCUUCUCCUCCCUCCUUCUUCCCCCUUCGUCGGGGUUCCUCCCCCUUCUCCGACACCAUCUUCCCCUCCGGGACCACAGCUCCUCCUCCCUCUUCCAUCCCUUCCUGGCAGCGGCGUCCCACCGCCCCCCCCCCCCCCCCCCCACCCCACAGGGGGGGGGGCGUCCCCUUCCUCCUCAGUUUAGGGGUUUAGGGUUUAGGGUUUUAGGGUUUUAGGGUUUUAGGGUUUAGGGUUUAAAAUCUCGAUAUUAUAGGUUAUUGUAUGCGAUCUUGGCAAUUGGUGUUUUUAAUCAUGAGAGUAGGUUAUUUUUUAUAUUCUCUGAUUCCAGGUGGAAUGUUAGUUAUUGGGUUUGCUGAUCAUCUUUUUGACACCAUCAAUUUUUACUUCUCACAUGUUUAUAUUUUUUUAUAAAAUAUGUCUGAUUUCUUUUUCUUUUUAUUGCUCGUGUUUUCUGGAGGAAAGGAAAGUUAUAUAGUGUAGUAGGGCUAUUGGAUAAUCUUCUCUUUUGGUGAAAAAUAAUUUAGUGUAGUAUUGCUUAUUGAUAAUUUGGUGAAUAAAUAAUAAGUUGGAAGUCCCUGUGGUACCUCAUAGUUCUUUUUAACAGAACUAAAACCAUAGGAAGUUUGUAUAUUAAAGGAAUUAUCUGAUUUUAACUGAGAUUUAUGUUUCUUUUUCUGAAUACUUAAAUUGCCCGUCUUUUACUCAUUGGUGCAUCUGACAUCUUUGACCCAUGUUUUAUUUGAGAUAUUGGUGGUGCAACAUAGAAAGGUCAUACUGUUUAUCAUCUAGCUUUCAGUUCAAAUGAGAACGUACAGUGUGUAACAUGCAUCUCUUGUUAUAACAUUGUUGAAGUGACUGCAUGCACCGAAAUAGAGGCUAUCAAGCAUCUUUAUGUUCAAUAGUAGGGUAUAUCUCAAACAUUAAAAUGUCAUUGUGUCAUUCACUCCUCUAGAAAAGGUACGGAUGAUGAUCUCAAUUUUAAAGCCUUUGGCUCUCAUCAGUGAAUGCUAAAGGCUUGUGAAGAUUGCCCUUGUAUUGAGGGCAAUCUUCACCUUGUAUUAAGAUUAAUCUCAAUUUUAUAGUCAUUUGUAUUAAGGGAUUGCCCAUUUAUGAUUUUUUUACCAUACAAGUCCUUGGUUAGGUUAGUACAUACUAGUUGCAUGAAAUGGCAUGAGCUGCAUGUUGCCUUGUGCAAUGUAGACUGAUUGGUAAGGAUGCACAAGCGGACCUUCAAUGACUUAUACAUCCCAGGUAUAAGGCGAGGAUCAUUGAAUUUUUCUCAAAGGUUAAUUUGUUUUAUGAAACCAGUACGACAUUCUUUUACUUUUGUUGAAGUUGGCAUUUCUUUAUUUCUUCAUUAGUUUAAAUAUUUGGUAAUUUUUUUAUGUUUGUUAU
rnacentral:lncRNA from 1 species